UGUGAGACAAGGAUAUCAAGAGCAGCCUCUGGUCACUGCAUUUCUCUGCUGCCAAAUCCGUCUGCCAUCUUGCCGCCUCCAGCCUGGCAGCUGUGGCAGAAAUUGUGCUGCCGCCACUACUCCUGCUGCCACUGCCACAGCGGACCCCAGCAACACUUUUGAAUACAAAAGCAACUCAAAAUAUCCAAUGCUCUAAAGAGAUAUCUGAAAUUGGAUGUGUUACUGCUGACAUCUCCUCAGUUCUCCAGCCUGCAAAGGGAUGGAAAAGGAAGGACAGAAAUUCCAGAAUGGUGACC